rnacentral:tRNA from 1 species
GCCCGAGUGGCCUAGUUGGUGGGGCGCCAGACUCAUAAGGAAGCGAUGCGCAUGCCCCAACCUUCCUGAGAAAUCUGGAGGUCGCGGGUUCGAGACCCGUCUCGGGCA